CCCGACACUCCUCUGAGUGCUCCAGCUCCCCUAACACAAUAGCUCUAUCCCCUUUGUCAUUCAAGAGCCUAUGAAAAUAUAAUUGCCAUCUAUUCUUAAUAUGGCCGUCCUCCACCAACACUGUACCGUCCUCCCCCUUAAUGCACUUCACCUGGUCGAGGUCACGACCCUUCCUCUCCCUAGCCUUAGCGAGUCUAAACAACUUUUUAUCCCCUCCUUUCUCCUAUAACCCCACAUACAAGCUCUUAAAAGCUUCCAUCUUAGCCACCGUAACUGCUAACUUAGCCUCCUUCCUAGCUAACUUGUACUCUUUCCUAUUUACCCGCUUCUCUUCUUCA
rnacentral:lncRNA from 1 species